AAGAUACUAGUAAAGAUAUUAUACCGCCUUGUCAAGGCGAAGUCGCGAGUUAGACUCUCGCGUAUCUUG
rnacentral:tRNA from 1 species